UACAGAGGGUGCGAGCGUUUAAUCGGAAUUACUGGGCGUAAAGCGCGCGUAGGCGGCUUUGCAAGUCGGGUGUGAAAUCCCCAGGCUUAACCUGGGAACUGCAUUCGAGACUGCAUUGCUAGAGUAUGGGAGAGGGAAGUGGAAUUUCAGGUGUAGCGGUGAAAUGCGUAGAUAUCUGAAGGAACAUCAGUGGCGAAAGCGACUUCCUGGACCAAUACUGACGCUCAUGUGCGAAAGCGUGGGGGAGCAAACAGG
rnacentral:rRNA from 1 species